AGUCUUUACGGAGAAAGCUUUAUGCACCAUUGGAUGAGCCCGCACUUGAUUAGUUUGUUGGUAGGGUAAUGGCCUACCAAGACUAUGAUCAAUAGCUGAUUUGAGAGGAUGAUCAGCCACAUUGGGACUGAGACACGGCCCAAACUCCUACGGGAGGCAGCAGUGGGGAAUCUUGCACAAUGGAGGAAACUCUGAUGCAGCGAUGCCGCGUGAGUGAAGAAGGCCUUUGGGUUGUAAAGCUCUUUCGUCGGGGAAGAAAAUGACUGUACCCGAAUAAGAAGGUCCGGCUAACUUCGUGCCAGCAGCCGCGGUAAUACGAAGGGACCUAGCGUAGUUCGGAAUUACUGGGCUUAAAGAGUUCGUAGGUGGUUGAAAAAGUUGGUGGUGAAAUCCCAGAGCUUAACUCUGGAACUGCCAUCAAAACUUUUCAGCUAGAGUAUGAUAGAGGAAAGCAGAAUUUCUAGUGUAGAGGUGAAAUUCGUAGAUAUUAGAAAGAAUACCAAUUGCGAAGGCAGCUUUCUGGAUCAUUACUGACACUGAGGAACGAAAGCAUGGGUAGCGAAGAGGAUUAGAUACCCUCGUAGUCCAUGCCGUAAACGAUGUGUGUUAGACGUUGGAAAUUUAUUUUCAGUGUCGCAGGGAAACCGAUAAACACACCGCCUGGGGAGUACGACCGCAAGGUUAAAACUCAAAUGAAUUGACGGGGACCCGCACAAGUAGUGGAGCAUGUGGUUUAAUUCGAAGAUACGCGCAGAACCUUACCAACACUUGACAUGUUCGUCGCGACUCUAAGAGAUUAGAGUUUUCGGUUCGGCCGGACGAAACACAGGUGCUGCAUGGCUGUCGUCAGCUCGUGUCGUGAGAUGUUGGGUUAAGUCCCGCAACGAGCGCAACCCUCACUUUUAGUUGCCAUCAUUAAGUUGGGCACUCUGAAAGAACUGCCAGUGAUAAGCUGGAGGAAGGUGGGGAUGACGUCAAGUCCUCAUGGCCCUUACGUGUUGGGCUACACACGUGCUACAAUGGCAUCUACAACAGGAAGCAAAACGGCAACGUUAAGCAAAUCCCGAAAAGAUGCCUCAGUUCGGAUUGCACUCUGCAACUCGAGUGCAUGAAGCUGGAAUUACUAGUAAUCGUGGAUCAGCGUGCCACGGUGAAUGCGUUCCCGGGUCUUGUACACACCGCCCGUCACACCAUGGGAGUUGGUUCUACCUUAAGGCAAGGUUUUAAACCCUUGACCACGGUAUAGUCAGCGACUGGGGUGAAGUCGUAACAAGGUAGCCGUAGGGGAACCUGCGGCUG
rnacentral:rRNA from 1 species